rnacentral:rRNA from 1 species
GACGUAGGGGGCGAGCGUUGUCCGGAUUUAUUGGGCGUAAAGCGCGCGUAGGCGGCUCGUUAAGUCGGGUGUGAAAACCCGGGGCUCAACCCCGGACCUGCAUCCGAUACUGGCGGGCUUGAGGCAGGCAGGGGAGAUCGGAAUUCCUGGUGUAGCGGUGAAAUGCGCAGAUAUCAGGAGGAACACCGGUGGCGAAGGCGGAUCUCUGGGCCUGUCCUGACGCUCAGGCGCGAAAGCUAGGGGAGCAAACAGG